rnacentral:rRNA from 1 species
UCGAACGGUAACGCGGGGCAACCUGGCGACGAGUGGCGAACGGGUGAGUAAUGUAUCGGAACGUGCCCAGUUGUGGGGGAUAACUGCUCGAAAGAGCAGCUAAUACCGCAUACGACCUGAGGGUGAAAGCGGGGGAUCUUCGGACCUCGCGCAAUUGGAGCGGCCGAUAUCAGAUUAGGUAGUUGGUGGGGUAAAGGCCUACCAAGCCGACGAUCUGUAGCUGGUCUGAGAGGACGACCAGCCACACUGGGACUGAGACACGGCCCAGACUCCUACGGGAGGCAGCAGUGGGGAAUUUUGGACAAUGGACGCAAGUCUGAUCCAGCCAUGCCGCGUGCGGGAAGAAGGCCUUCGGGUUGUAAACCGCUUUUGUCAGGGAAGAAAUCCUUUGUGUUAAUACCGCGAAGGGAUGACGGUACCUGAAGAAUAAGCACCGGCUAACUACGUGCCAGCAGCCGCGGUAAUACGUAGGGUGCAAGCGUUA